UACGGAGGGUGCAAGCGUUAUCCGGAUUCACUGGGUUUAAAGGGAGCGUAGGAGGGCAGGUAAGUCAGUGGUGAAAUCUUCGAGCUUAACUCGGAAACUGCCGUUGAUACUAUCUGUCUUGAAUACCGUGGAGAUGAGCGGAAUAUGUCAUGUAGCGGUGAAAUGCUUAGAUAUGACAUAGAACACCAAUUGCGAAGGCAGCUCGUUACACGAAUAUUGACGCUGAGGCGCGAAAGCUAGGGGUGCAAACGGG
rnacentral:rRNA from 1 species